rnacentral:rRNA from 1 species
CUCCCGGCACGGGGAGGUAGUGACGAAAAAUAACGAUACGGGACUCAUCCGAGGCCCCGUGAUCGGAAUGAGCACACUUUAAAUCCUUUAACGAGGAUCAAUUGGAGGGCAAGUCUGGUGCCAGCAGCCGCGGUAAUUCCAGCUCCAAUAGCGUAUAUUAAAGUUGCUGCGGUUAAAAAGCUCGUAGUCGAAAUUGUGUCCACGGCCGCCGGUUCGUCGCUCGCGACGCCAACUGGCGCGCACGCUGGACGUCCAGCCGGUACUACGAACUCGCCUACGGGGUGCUCUUAACCGAGUGUCCAGGCGGGGGCCGGCAACGUUACUUUGAACAAACUAAAGUGCUUAAAGCAGGCUAAAUCACGCUCGUAUACGUACGUGCAUGGAAUAAUCGAAUAGGACCUCCGUUCUAUUUUGUUGGGUUUUUGUGGAACGACAAACGGAGGUAAUGAUCAAUGGGUGCGGAUGGGGGCAUUCGUAUUGCGACGUUAGAGGUGAAAUUCUUGGACCGUCGCAAGACGGACUUAAGCGAAAGCAUUUGCCAAAAACGCUUUCAUCGAUCAAGAACGAAAGUUAGAGGUUCGAAGGCGAUCAGAUACCGCCCUAGUUCUAACCAUAAACUAUGCCAGCUAGCGAUCCGCCGAAGUUACUACUAUGACUCGGCGGGCAGCUUCCGGGAAACCAAAGCUUUCGGGUUCCGGGGGAAGUAUGGUUGCAAAGCUGAAACUUAAAGGAAUUGACGGAAGGGCACCACCAGGAGUGGAGCCUGCGGCUUAAUUUGACUCAACACGGGAAACCUCACCAGGCCCGGACACCGGAAGGAUUGACAGAUUGAGAGCUCUUUCUUGAUUCGGUGGGUGGUGGUGCAUGGCCGU